UAGCAAUCAGCCCCUCUGAGUAAAAUGU
rnacentral:piRNA from 1 species